rnacentral:rRNA from 1 species
GUGGGGAAUUUUGGACAAUGGGCGAAAGCCUGAUCCAGCCAUGCCGCGUGCAGGAUGAAGGCCUUCGGGUUGUAAACUGCUUUUGUACGGAACGAAAAGACUCCUUCUAAUAAAGGGGGUCCAUGACGGUACCGUAAGAAUAAGCACCGGCUAACUACGUGCCAGCAGCCGCGGUAAUACGUAGGGUGCAAGCGUUAAUCGGAAUUACUGGGCGUAAAGCGUGCGCAGGCGGUUAUAUAAGACAAAUGUGAAAUCCCCGGGCUCAACCUGGGAACUGCAUUUGUGACUGUAUAGCUAGAGUACGGUAGAGGGGGAUGGAAUUCCGCGUGUAGCAGUGAAAUGCGUAGAUAUGCGGAGGAACACCGAUGGCGAAGGCAAUCCCCUGGACCUGUACUGACGCUCAUGCACGAAAGCGUGGGGAGCAAACAGGAUUAGAUACCCUGGUAGUCC